ensembl:misc_RNA Metazoa_SRP Metazoan signal recognition particle RNA
GCCAGGCGCGGCAGUCCCAGCUGCCUGGGUGGCUGAGGUGGGAGGAUCACUUGAGCCCAGGAGUUCUGGGCUGUAGUGCACUAUGCCAAUCAGGUGUCUGCACUAAGUUCGGCAUCAAUAUGGUGUCCUCCCGGGAGCGGGGAACCACCAGGUUGCCUAAGGAGGAGUGAACCAGCCCAGGUCAGAAAUGGAGCAGGUCAAAACUCCUGUGCUGAUCAAUAGUAGGAUCUCACCUGUGAAUAGCCACUGCACUCCAGCCUGGGCAACGUAGCAAAAACUUGUUUCUA